rnacentral:rRNA from 2 species
AUGGUUAAGUUAGAAAGGGCGCACGGUGAAUGCCUUGGCACUAGGAGCCGAUGAAGGACGGGACUAACACCGAUAUGCUUCGGGGAGCUGUAAGUAAGCUUUGAUCCGGAGAUUUCCGAAUGGGGAAACCCACUGUUCGUAAUGGAGCAGUAUCUUUAUCUGAAUACAUAGGAUAUUGAAGGCAGACCCGGGGAACUGAAACAUCUAAGUACCCGGAGGAAGAGAAAGCAAAUGCGAUUUCCUGAGUAGCGGCGAGCGAAACGGAAUUAGCCCAAACCAAGAGGCUUGCCUCUUGGGGUUGUAGGACACUCUAUACGGAGUUACAAAGGAACGAGGUAAAUGAAGAGGUCUGGAAAGGCCCGUCAAAGAAGGUAACAACCCUGUAGUUGAAACUUCGUUCCCUCUUGAGUGGAUCCUGAGUACGGCGGAACACGUGAAAUUCCGUCGGAAGCUGGGAGGACCAUCUCCCAAGGCUAAAUACUCCCUAGUGACCGAUAGUGAACCAGUACCGUGAGGGAAAGGUGAAAAGCACCCCGGAAGGGGAGUGAAAGAGAUCCUGAAACCGUGUGCCUACAAGUAGUCAGAGCCCGUUAAUGGGUGAUGGCGUGCCUUUUGUAGAAUGAACCGGCGAGUUACGAUCCCAUGCAAGGUUAAGUUGAAGAGACGGAGCCGUAGCGAAAGCGAGUCUGAAUAGGGCGUUUAGUAUGUGGUUGUAGACCCGAAACCAGGUGAUCUACCCAUGUCCAGGGUGAAGUUCAGGUAACACUGAAUGGAGGCCCGAACCCACGCACGUUGAAAAGUGCGGGGAUGAGGUGUGGGUAGCGGAGAAAUUCCAAUCGAACCUGGAGAUAGCUGGUUCUCUCCGAAAUAGCUUUAGGGCUAGCCUCACGUAGUGAGAGUCUUGGAGGUAGAGCACUGAUUGGACUAGGGGCCCCCAACGGGUUACCGAAUUCAGUCAAACUCCGAAUGCCAAAGACUUAUCCGUGGGAGUCAGACUGCGAGUGAUAAGAUCCGUAGUCAAAAGGGAAACAGCCCAGACCACCAGCUAAGGUCCCCAAGUAUACGUUAAGUGGAAAAGGAUGUGGAGUUGCUUAGACAACCAGGAUGUUGGCUUAGAAGCAGCCACCAUUUAAAGAGUGCGUAAUAGCUCACUGGUCGAGUGACUCUGCGCCGAAAAUGUACCGGGGCUAAACGUAUCACCGAAGCUGUGGAUUGACAUCUUUGAUGUCAGUGGUAGGAGAGCGUUCUAAGUGCUGCGAAGCUAGACCGUAAGGACUGGUGGAGCGCUUAGAAGUGAGAAUGCCGGUAUGAGUAGCGAAAGACAAGUGAGAAUCUUGUCCACCGAAUGCCUAAGGUUUCCUGAGGAAGGCUCGUCCGCUCAGGGUUAGUCGGGACCUAAGCCGAGGCUGAAAAGCGUAGGCGAUGGCCAACAGGUUGAUAUUCCUGUACCACCUCCCCGCCGUUUGAGUAAUGGGGGGACGCAGGAGGAUAGGGUAAGCGCGCUGCUGGAUAUGCGCGUUCAAGCAGUUAGGCUGAUGAGUAGGCAAAUCCGCUCAUCAUAAGGCUGAGCUGUGAUGACGAGGGAAAUAUAGUACCGAAGUUCCUGAUUCCACACUGCCAAGAAAAGCCUCUAGCGAGGCGGGAGGUGCCCGUACCGCAAACCGACACAGGUAGGCGAGGAGAGAAUCCUAAGGUGAUCGAGAGAACUCUCGUUAAGGAACUCGGCAAAAUGACCCCGUAACUUCGGGAGAAGGGGUGCUCUGGUAGGGUGUAUAGCCCGAGAGAGCCGCAGUGAAUAGGCCCAGGCGACUGUUUAGCAAAAACACAGGUCUCUGCGAAGCCGCAAGGCGAAGUAUAGGGGCUGACGCCUGCCCGGUGCUGGAAGGUUAAGAGGAGGGGUUAUCCUUUGGGAGAAGCUCUGAAUCGAAGCCCCAGUAAACGGCGGCCGUAACUAUAACGGUCCUAAGGUAGCGAAAUUCCUUGUCGGGUAAGUUCCGACCCGCACGAAAGGCGUAACGAUCUGGGCACUGUCUCAACGAGAGACUCGGUGAAAUUAUAGUACCUGUGAAGAUGCAGGUUACCCGCGACAGGACGGAAAGACCCCGUGGAGCUUUACUGUAGCCUGAUAUUGAAUUUUGGUACAGCUUGUACAGGAUAGGUAGGAGCCUGAGAAGCCGGAGCGCUAGCUUCGGUGGAGGCGUCGGUGGGAUACUACCCUGGUUGUAUUGAAAUUCUAACCC